CCUACGGGAGGCAGCAGUGGGGAAUAUUGGGCAAUGGGCGCAAGCCUGACCCAGCAACGCCGCGUGAAGGAAGAAGGCUUUCGGGUUGUAAACUUCUUUUCUCAGGGACGAAGAAAGUGACGGUACCUGAGGAAUAAGCCACGGCUAACUACGUGCCAGCAGCCGCGGUAAUACGUAGGUGGCAAGCGUUAUCCGGAUUGAUUGGGUGUAAAGGGCGUGUAGGCGGGAUGGCAAGUCAGCUGUGAAAUCCCGCGGCUCAACCGCGGAACUGCAUUGGAAACUGGUUUUCUUGAGUACCGGAGAGGUCAUCGGAAUUCCUUGUGUAGCGGUGAAAUGCGUAGAUAUAAGGAAGAACACCAGUGGCGAAGGCGGAUGACUGGACGGCAACUGACGGUGAGGCGCGAAAGCGUGGGGAGCAAACAGGAUUAGAUACCCGGGUAGUC
rnacentral:rRNA from 1 species